GUUUUCGCUGCAAGAAAAAUUGGACAUAUUGCAAGAAAUCGACACAGCGAAAAAGCAAAUUGACCUUUGCAGACAGCGUGGCAUUGCCCCGCCCCAUUGACUGUUGCAACCAUUUUGAAAGACCGAGACACGAUACCCAAACUUGACCGGGAGUCGCAACUUGCUGCUACGAGGAAAUGGCUGCAACUGGGAAACUUUCACAAUGUGGACCAAGCUGUUCUCACGUGGUUCAAAGAUGCCAGAUUGCAAAACAUUCCUGUGUCUGACCCAAUGCUCCAAGAAAAGCAUGUCAAUUUGCCG
rnacentral:lncRNA from 1 species